rnacentral:snRNA from 1 species
GGGUGAUCUGGCUGUGACAUCUGCCAACCCACUGAUUGACUGGACUGAUUGGCUGACCAGACUGGCUGGACAGGUUUCCUCUUGCUCAAUGCUCCAUGUGCGUCCUGCCCAUAGCUCUGUGCUAGGUCAAAGAGGACAACCACUCUGAUAGAGGAGCUCGUUGGUCAAGGGUCCAGAGAUAGAUAGGCCCCACUGCUAGAACCUCCACAUAAGCUCUCAAGCUCUCAAGAAAUAUCAGUGCACCUAUAAAGAUAGACUGAAAAUGAAAGGAUGCAAACACUAUUU